AGUGAACGCUGGCGGUAGGCCUAACACAUGCAAGUCGAACGGCAGCACAGUAAGAGCUUGCUCUUACGGGUGGCGAGUGGCGGACGGGUGAGGAAUACAUCGGAAUCUACUUUUUCGUGGGGGAUAACGUAGGAAACUUACGCUUAUUCCGCAUACGACCUACGGGUGAAAGCAGGGGAUCUUUGGACCUUGCUCGAGUGCAUGAGUCGAUUUCGGAUUAGCUAGUUCGCGGGGUAAAGGCCCACCAAGGCGACGAUCCGUAGCUGGUCUGAGAGGAGGAUCAGCCACACUGGAACUGAGACACGGUCCAGACUCCUACGGGAGGCAGCAGUGGGGAAUAUUGGACAAUGGGCGCAAGCCUGAUCCAGCCAUACCGCGUGGGUGAAGAAGGCCUUCGGGUUGUAAAGCCCUUUUGUUGGGAAAGAAAAGCAGCAGGUUAAUACCCCGCUGUUCUGACGGUACCCAAAGAAUAAGCACCGGCUAACUUCGUG
rnacentral:rRNA from 1 species